CGGGGUGAGUAAUGCUUGGGAAUCUAGCUUAUGGAGGGGGGUAGCUACGGGAAACUGUAGCUAAUACCGCGUAAUAUCGAAAGAUUAAAGUGUGGGACCUUCGGGCCACAUGCCAUAAGAUGAGCCCAAGUGGGAUUAGGUAGUUGGUGAGGUAAAGGCUCACCAAGCCGACGAUCUCUAGCUGGUCUGAGAGGAUGACCAGCCACACUGGGACUGAGACACGGCCCAG
rnacentral:rRNA from 1 species